CUGUACUAGGGUUAACCACAGAAUCUAUACUUGUGCCCUCUUGCUGCGCUUGCAUUUGCAAAAAUCUAGCCUUCUCUCUAGGGUGUGUUUUUAUGUGCCUAGUCAAACUACCCAUGCCGCUACGAUCUCCAGUAAAUUUAUGAACCAGUAAUUUCCCACAAGUUUUAUACUUAGCCUUAUUUAGUUCUCUUACUUGAGUAAAUAAAUUCCAAACUAAUGAUGUUUCUUGAC
rnacentral:lncRNA from 1 species